UACGGGGGGGGCAAGCGUUGUUCGGAAUUACGGGGCGUAAAGGGCUCGUAGGCGGCCAACUAAGUCGGAUGUGAAAUCCCCAGGCUUAACCUGGGAACUGCGUCCGAUACUGGCAGGCUUGAAUCCGGGAGAGGGAUGUGGAAUUCCAGGUGUAGCGGUGAAAUGCGUAGAUAUCUGGAGGAACACCGGUGGCGAAGGCGGCAUCCUGGACCGGUAUUGACGCUGAGGCGCGAAAGCUAGGGGAGCAAACGGG
rnacentral:rRNA from 1 species